GCUCUCCUCUCCUGCUAAGCUUUGUUUCCUGGCCGUAAUUAAAACCUUCUGCCACCGCCAUAGCCACUGCUGCUGGAACCACCAUAGCCACCUUGGUUUCAUGGUUUGACAAAGUACUGGCCUCCACCACCAUAGGGGCCAGGGCUUCUGCCUCCAAAAUUUCCUCCUUUCAUGGGUCCAAAAUUUGAAGAUUCAUUGUUGUAAUUGCCAAAAUCAUUAUAGCUUUCACCACCUCCAAAGUUGCUUCCAUCGUUACCAAAUCUGUUAUAGCCAUCCCCACUGCCACCAUAUCCACUACCCCUUUGAUUCCCACCACAGCUACCUCACCCACUGAAGCUUCCUCCAUGACCAAAGUUAUUCCCACCAAAACCACCUCCAUGACCACCACCAAAGUUUCCAGAGCCACUUUGACCUCUUUGGCUGGAUGAAGCACUAGCCAUCUCUUUCUUAGACAGAGUUCUCCUGACUUCACAAUUGUGACCAUUCACAGUAUGGUAUUUUUGAAUGACAAUCUUGUCUAUAGAGUCAUGGUCAUCAAAUGUUAUAAAAGCAAACCUCUCUUUUUGCCACUGCCUCAGUUAGUCAUGAUUUCAGUCACUCCAAUUUUCCCAUACUGUUCAAAAUAAUCUCUUGGAUGAUGUUCUUAAAUUUUUUUUUAACAUUUACUUAUUUUUGAGAGACAGAGAGAGACAGAGCAUGAGUUGGGGAGGGACAGAGAGAGGGAGACACAGAAUCUGAAGCAGGCUUCAGGCUCUGAGCUGUGAGUACAGAGCCCGACACAAGGCUCGAACUCACAAACUGCGAGAUCAUGCCGAGCUGCAGUCGGACGCCCAACCAACUGAGCCACCCAGGCGCCCCUCUUGGAUGAUGUUCUUCAGUGUCUUCUUCAAUGCCACCAACAAAAAUCUUUUUCACAGUUAAGUGGGCACCAGGUCUUUGAGAAUCUUCUCUGGAGACAGCCCUCUUUGGUUCCACAACUCUUCCAUCUACCUUGUGUGGCCUUGCACUCAUGGUUGCAUCCACCUCUUCCACAGUGGCAUACAUGACAAACCCAAACACCUCUGGAGUGCUUGGUGUUUGGAUCUCUCAUAACCACACAGUCCGUAAGCAUUCCCCAUUGCUCAAAAUGGCUCCUCAGACUCUAACCGGUUGUUUCAAAGCUCAAACCUCCGAUGAAAAGCUUCGGUAGCUGUUCAGGCUCUUUGCGAGACUCUGACUUAAGACAUGAUAGUGGUGGGAGGGGAGACUUUAAUGAUGCUUCCUCAGCAGUGUCCACGGGCAGAAAG
rnacentral:lncRNA from 1 species